AUUGAACGCUGGCGGCAGGCCUAACACAUGCAAGUCGAGCGAGCGGCGGACGGGUGAGUAAUGUAUGGGGACUGCCCGAUAGAGGGGGAUAACUAAUGGAGGCGGUAGCUAAUACCGCAUACUAUCGAAUAACCCAUAUGGGAUUUGCUAGUAGGUGAGGUAAUGGCUCACACAGGCGACCAUCCCUAGCUGGUCUGAGAGGAUGAUCAGCCACACUGGGACUGAGACACGGCCCAGACGCCUACGGAGGCAGCAGUGGGGAAUAUUGGACAAUGGGCGAAAGCCUGAUGCAGCCAUGCCGCGUGUGUGAAGAAGGCCCUAGGAUUGUAAAGUACUUUCAGUCGGGAGGCGUUACCGACAGAAGAAGCACCGGCUAACUCCGUGCCAGCAGCCGCGGUAAUUC
rnacentral:rRNA from 1 species